rnacentral:rRNA from 1 species
GACAGAGGGUGCAACCGUUGUUCGGAAUUACUGGGCGUAAAGCGCGUGUAGGCGGCUUGGCAAGUCGGGUGUGAAAGCCCUGGGCUCAACCCAGGAAGUGCACUCGAAACUGCUUCGCUCGAGUAUCGGAGAGGAAAACGGAAUUCUCGAUGUAGAGGUGAAAUUCGUAGAUAUCGAGAGGAACACCGGUGGCGAAGACGGCUUUCUGGACGAUUACUGACGCUGAGACGCGAAAGCGUGGGGAGCAAACAGG